UAGAGGUGGUUAGAAAAACAAAGAGUAACUAUUUUUAGUGCACAACAAUAAAUGCCGCAUCGUCCGUGUGUCUUCCCAGGUCCGAUUUCCCUCUCCUUCUUCUUCUUGCUUGAAACUAUCCCACUAAAAGGGGCACUUUACAACCCCAUCAACUGCAACUCUGCAAGUCUUUAACUAUGGCUCCUUCUAUCGUUAUCUCACCAUGUCCAAGACCAGUAGUCAGAUGCAAUUGAUUGUAGAGGAGAAUAAACGACAGAGUUUUGUUAAUUGUAAUGCUAACAAUACGAAUUUGUUAAGGUGCUAACAUUAAUGAAAAAAAUAAGGAAGAUUUUGCAAUAGCUACAAUAAAAUACUCCGUAGUAGCCACCAUAAUAAAAUGAAUCUCAACCUUUUUUUUUGUUGUCUCAUCGGAACCGUUGAUUAUGCUGACUUUUUUGUUUUUAUUUUUUAAUUAAAAUUAGUUUUUUCAAUAAAAAUAAAAGUAUUAAAAAAUACCCCACUUUCCUACUACAAUCAUCCACGUUCCGGGGAAGCAGUUUCUCUAUAUGACAAAAUAAAAUGAACAAAAUUUUUGAAACUUCAAUUCAAAAUUGAUGUUCUUGUUGAUCUUCAUUAUCGGGGGGGUUUGAUAAAAUUUCUAAAACUUCAAUUCAAUCUAUCGCUAAGAAGUAACGGUUUUGUUGAGAAACUCAAUUAAUUCCAUCAUUUCUUUUCUUAUUAACAAAGAAUGUGGGUGAUGUGGACUAAAAGAAUGCCACCUGACUGCACUAUCAAAGCCCAGAAGAAAGAGCCCAAAAGCUUGCCUACGGGCAUUUCUCAAACUUCACAGGGCCCGGGCCCAAGCGAUUAAGAGGCCCACAUUGGUCCUAAACAAGCCUCCAGAACCAAUGCAGGACACGUGUCCCAAUCUUGCGUAAACACUCAAUCAUGCAGGACCAGUUCCCGAGAAACCCUAGCACUAUAAAUAGUGCAGAUCCCUAGGUUGCCAGAAGUUCGUGCCAGGUCAUACUUGAUACCUCUGAGGAGCGCGUGCCACGUCAGCACCGUAAAAGAUCCCACAACAUUUGGCGCCGUCUGUGGGGAGGUACAGUGUCAUGGCCGAACUACACUCUGACAGAGAGCAUGCUGGUGAAGAAGAAGAGAGACGGCACAUUGAAGAGACCAAUCGAAUUGCAAAUGCAGGGAACACACCAGGACGAAUGCAAGCUGAGGUGGUGGUAGAAGAAGAACCAAUCACUAGUGGAAAAACAAUCAUUUGCAUCACCACAUUUGCCUCGCACAUUUAAACAUGUGACGCAAUUGACAGUUCUAAGCUUUAAAAUUAGUCAUUUGCGUCGCAGAAUUAUUAAUCUGCGACGCAAAUGACUCUAAAAUGUUCUCAGAGUCAUUUGCGUCGCAGAUUAGUAAUAAUGCGACGCAAAAUAUUACCUCCUUUGCGUCGCAGAAUUACUAAUCUGCGACGCAAAUGACUCUUUAAGUCACCUGCGUCGCAGAUUAGUAAUUCUGCGACGCAGAGGAGGUAAAAAAAAUUCGGAAGGAGAUGUCAAUACCCUCUUUUUCUCUCUUUUUCUUCUUUCCAGAACUCCAUUCAGGAGAUGUCAAUACCCUCUUUUUCUCUCUCUUCUUCUUUCCAGAACUCCAUUCAUGAGAUGUCAAUACCUCUCAAUCUUUCAUUCAUUUGAAAUCUCCUCUAACCACUAUACGUAUUUUGCCUUUAAUUUACCCGGAAAAAUCAAGAUUUGCGAAAACACGGCUCGAAGAGAAAAAUCCUAGAUUCCGCCGCGAAGAAGGAGACAUUUCAAAGCAGUGCAGCUCGAUUGCUAGCGAGUCUCCGAUCCAAUUCUGCGAAUUAGUUCGUCGGCGAUUUAGCCUAUUUCUAGGUUUUUAAGGUUGGGUGAAACGCCAAACCGUUGGAGCUGGAUCUUCGGUUAACGUCGCCGCCGUCAUUGAUUACCUUAUUUCUUAGAUGGUGCCUGAUGUUGUAGAGGGUGAUGGGUUUGUUGGGAGGCAGCCUCAUAUCAAGUAUGAGCUCAGAGAUAGUCCUGGUCUUGUGAAUGUAGGAGGAUACAACCAAUGUGUAUUCUUCAACUGCAGUUAUAGUAGUUCGGAUACUCCACUGAGUGAGGGUCAGUGCCAUUGGUUUUCUCCCAAGGGUUCUACUUUGCUUAAAGCGGGCUCUAAAAAUCGCAAAUGCCGCUCAACAGAUGGCUAAUGCUACUCGGGGUAGUGGUGGUUUAGUUAUGCUGUUCAUUGAAAUCAUCAAUAAGUAUCUCUAUUUUUUUGAGAAGGGAAACAACCAAAUCACCGUCAAUACAAUCCAGGAUCUAAUGGAAUUAAUUACUACAGAGAUGCAAAGUGAUAAUGCGGCAACAGAUUCUGCUGCUGAAGCUUUCUUUGCAAGCACAUUGCGGUACAUCCAAUUCCAGAAACAAAAAGGUGGCGCAGUUAGUGAGAAAUAUGAACCUAAUGAGAACUGAAAAGUUAAAACUUGAGAAAGGGAAACAAACUCGGUAACAAUUGCUCUUCAAUCCGCUAAACUUGUGAGAAUUGUCGCCUUUGAUCUUGCUCUUGGGACUCUUGAAUGGUUCCCUCAUUUGUCUUUGAAUACGCUGACGCUGACGCUGCGUGCUACGUGUGUCAUGGGAAGUUGCUUAUCCAAGCAUGAUCUCAACUCUCAAAUUGAUUUGGUAAUUGAAAUUUUGAAGCGUCCAGGAGAAGUCCUCCAUGUUUGUCUUAGUGUCGCACGAACGCUGUAAAUUCAUAAUUUAGUGUGCUUCAAUUUUAAUUUCUCGGCUUUUUUUUUCUCGGUUCAAAUUUUUAUUUUUAUUUCAUAUUGUAAUUUGUUUGAUUUUGGUCUGACAAUGGAGUUUUUUUCAUCUGCUUGAAUGAUAUCUUGGGCCUCAUUCGUUUAUGGUUCACUUAAACUUU